AUGUGCUGUGAGCUCGAUGAGUAGGGCGGGACACGUGGUAUCCUGUCUGAAUAUGGGGGGACCAUCCUCCAAGGCUAAAUACUCCUGACUGACCGAUAGUGAACCAGUACCGUGAGGGAAAGGCGAAAAGAACCCCGGCGAGGGGAGUGAAAAAGAACCUGAAACCGUGUACGUACAAGCAGUGGGAGCACAGGUUUACCUGUGUGACUGCGUACCUUUUGUAUAAUGGGUCAGCGACUUAUAUUCUGUAGCAAGGUUAACCGUAUAGGGGAGCCGUAGGGAAACCGAGUCUUAACCGGGCGUUAAGUUGCAGGGUAUAGACCCGAAACCCGGUGAUCUAGCCAUGGGCAGGUUGAAGGUUGGGUAACACUAACUGGAGGACCGAACCGACUAAUGUUGAAAAAUUAGCGGAUGACCUGUGGCUGGGGGUGAAAGGCCAAUCAAACCGGGAGAUAGCUGGUUCUCCCCGAAAGCUAUUUAGGUAGCGCCUCGUGAAUUCAUCUCCGGGGGUAGAGCACUGUUUCGGCUAGGGGGCCAUCCCGGCUUACCAACCCGAUGCAAACUGCGAAUACCGGAGAAUGUUAUCACGGGAGACACACGGCGGGUGCUAACGUCCGUCGUGAAGAGGGAAACAACCCAGACCGCCAGCUAAGGUCCCAAAGUCAUGGUUAAGUGGGAAACGAUGUGGGAAGGCCCAGACAGCCAGGAUGUUGGCUUAGAAGCAGCCAUCAUUUAAAGAAAGCGUAAUAGCUCACUGGUCGAGUCGGCCUGCGCGGAAGAUGUAACGGGGCUAAACCAU
rnacentral:rRNA from 1 species